rnacentral:rRNA from 1 species
UACGGGGGGGGCAAGCGUUGUUCGGAAUUACUGGGCGUAAAGGGUGCGUAGGCGGCUCUCUAAGUUGGAUGUGAAAACUCUGGGCUCAACCCAGAGCCUGCAUCCAAAACUGGAGAGCUAGGGUUCUGGAGGGGAAAGCGGAAUUCCUGGUGUAGCGGUGAAAUGCGUAGAUAUCAGGAGGAACACCGGUGGCGAAGGCGGCUUUCUGGACAGAUACCGACGCUGAGGCACGAAAGCUAGGGGAGCGAACGGG